rnacentral:tRNA from 1 species
GGGCGGUUAGCUCAGUUGGUUAGAGUGUUUGGUUUACAUCCAAAAGGUCGCAGGUUCGAGCCCUGCACCGCCCACCA